rnacentral:rRNA from 1 species
UGCGGGAGGGGAAAGGGGGGAUGCAAGACCUCUUGAUUGGGAGGGAGAUAUCAGGUUGCUGUGGUGGGGUAAAGGCUCUCAAGGCGACGAUGGUAGGUGUGGAGAGGAGGACCACCCCCACUGGAAUGAGACACGGUCCAGACUCUUCGGGAGGCAGCAGUGGGGAAUUUUGACAAUGGGCGCAAGCUUGAUCCAGCCAUACCGCGUAGUAAGAAGGCCUCGGGUUUAAAGUUUUUCAGCCGGA